GGAUGUGGCUCAGUGGUAGAGUGCUUGCCUAGCAUGAUCAAGGUCCUGGGUUCAAUCCCCAGCACCA
rnacentral:tRNA from 1 species